GCCCUGAAACCUUCUGGGAGGAGAAGAGGCCUGACCUUGGCGCUGGGGUCCAGUGGGCAUUGCUCUGGUCCGAGGCUGCUGCUCUUGACCUCUGCUCUGCGGCUGUUUUCCAUUGGAGUAGAGGCUCCUCCUGUCCUGUCCUGCCUGUGGAGGGAAGCAAACCUUCCCCUGGACCAGAGAGAGGAGAAAGCGGAGACAGGUAGCAACGCUGUGGACUGGUGAUGACAGGCUCUUCAGCUCCCUGCAAGUGACCGGGCCUGGGGAACAGGGCAUGGCACAGGCACACAGGACCCCCCAGCCCAGGGCUGCCCCCAGCCAGCCCCGUGUGUUCAAGCUGGUUCUCCUGGGAAGUGGCUCCGUGGGUAAGUCCAGCUUGGCUCUUCGGUACGUGAAGAACGACUUCAAGAGUAUCCUGCCUACGGUGGGCUGUAAGUGAGGGCAGAGCACCCCUUUGUUGGUCUUCAGUGCAGAAGUCUGGGCUGCUGACCCACACCUGGGGCAGAUGGGGACGAGGCCCACCUAGGAAUCCCCAUGCUGGGACCUUGAGCUGCCUGUGUCCAGUGCGUGAGGGGAGGGGGUGAGGUCCAAGAGGGCAGCCACAGAAUCUACAAAGACAGGAAAUGCCCUUGGCUCUGGGUCAGGUUUCAGCUCAGCUGGAGUCUGCAGGGGGUGGAGAUUCUGGGGUAGGACCUCUGGCCCCAAAGGGUCGGGCUGGGUGCGAGGGAUUAUGCUGGUGGAAGGGACAGCCCGGAAGAAGCCUCCUGGGCCCUGGCCACUCAGCGGCCUAAACCAGCUGUCCUCUCCCACCACCCAGGCCGCCCUCCUGCUAACACUGCUCCCUUGCUUUAUUUACCCCAACAGCAUCUUCCUUCCUGCCUGGACUUGGUUUACCAGCUUGGCCUGGAUUGGGGGUGGGAAGAUCAUUUUGGGGGUGGGCGGGGAGGGAGACCUUCUCUCUGUGUUUCUUAAAAAGGCUAACCUGUCAUGAAGCUCAGGAGUAACUGUAUGGGGCAUCUGCAGGCUGCUGGCCUCCUUCCCAUCCUGCUGUGGGCACAGUCUGCCUAGGCAGUGAAACCCAGUUUUCACCUGAAAUGGGGAAAGCCAGCGUGUUCUUUAUGCCCAUUCCCCCUGGGGGAACACAUGCAGAAUCAGAGCCUCGGUUUCAAAUUCGGACUCUGACAUGGAUAAGCUGCACAUCUCCAAAUUCACUCAUUCAUUUACUCAUCUAACAGGCAUCUGUUGAGCAUGAACCCUUUUGCAGGCCUGCGUUAGGUGGGAUGGAUUCUAUAACCAGCUAAACAGAUGCACCAAACACAGAAACACAAUUGCAAGAUGUGGCACAUGACGUUAGCUAUUUAGGGAGCCCUUCCAUUUUCUCAGGGGGGUGGUUCCUGAAGGAUCCCCAGGGGAUACAGGGGAAUUGGCAGGGGUCUGCCUGGCCCGACUCCCAGAGCUAGUGGUGAGAAGGGCCAGGGUGAUGGUGAGAGGCUGUCUGCAGAGGGGGACCCUGGGGAGAGAGUCAAGGUUACCCUGUGGUGUGCAGUACAAUCCUCUUCUCCAUUAGCAAGGAGAUCUGUACCCCUCACCCCCCAAGUCCUGAUAUUGGACUUGGCUUCCUUUAAAAAUACAUCAAAAUGCCAAGGCUGGCCUGAGGGUGGCCUCAGUUGAGAAUAGAGCACACAGAUGGGGGCCUCACCAGGCCUGGAUGUUGAGAGCUUUGUACCUGGGUGGCUGGUAUUCAAGAUGCAGAGAGAGGCAGCAGGUGUCAGGCCAGGUGAGCUGGACUGGGGAUGGAUCUCACUCUGACACGGAGGUCUGCACACUGUGGCUCUCUGGCUGUUCUUGUUGUUUUGUGAGUAAGGUUCUGUGGAGACACAACUCUACCUCUUCAGGUACUUACCCUCUGUAAAUGAUAUUCUUGCUGUUCCUCCUCCUCUAUUCACUCUAAAAUGGCAGCAGGGUUGAGUGGUUGCAGCAGUGACCCCAUGGCCAGUAAAACCUAAAGUAUCUGCUACAGGGCCUUUUACAGAAGGACUCCAUGACGCCACCCUAGCAGAGCCUGCAGGAGCCAGCGCCCAAAGGCACUCACUAGGUGAGCGCAAGCAGGGCUGAGAGAUUCCGAGAUGCCCGGUUGGAGCGUAGGAGGGUGCUUUGGAUUCAUUGAGACGUGCUUGGACGUGCUCAGCCCACAGAGAGCUGUACCCACAGAGCACCCACCUUUCUUGGGUGGGGGUGGGGGGGUGAUGUGUGGGGUCUGUGAAGCUUCAGGGUGGUGCCGGGCAUUCUGUAUUUUACAGGUGAGGGGGAUGGAGGCCCCGACAAUGAGGCGCGAGGCCCUAGUUCCUUUCAUUCCAGCAAGCCAGGGUCCGAGCAUCCCCCUCACACCUGCCCUGCCUGUACCAAUUGCCUGCCCUCUCUUCAGGGGGCCUACCAGGGUCGGGGGGUGAACAAAGCUGGGCUUGCUGGGGAGUCCUAGGCCAGGUUGGGGGUCUUUGCUUGGGGGGCAGGCCUGUAUGUCUCACUCUACUCCUGGUCCUCUGUCUGGCCCCGCAGGGGCCAUCCCCCUGCCGGCAGCUUUCAGAUGAAAGCCAGGGCCUCCCUUCCUCCAAGCCCCUCUCUUCCAGGCCUGGGUUUAUCUCCUCUCUCUGAGGGGAAGGACCGUUCUACAGGCUGGGCUCUGCCUUUCACCCAGAACUGGUGGGUGGAGUCUUUGUUCCCACUCUGGGUCUCUGUGAUGGGGCCGGGGUGGGAGGCUGUGGGCUGUGGCCCGUGGCACAACGGGGAGAGGAGAACAGCCAGAUUAGGUUAGCCUGUGGCUCAUGAGCUGCCUUCAUCCCAUCAGCCUCCAACCCUGGGGUCCGCACUUUUGUAUUGAGCACCUCUGUGUGUGGGCAGCUGUGCCGGGUUGCGGGGUUAGAAAUGUGGAAGCUCCUUCCUUUGCUGUUGGCUGAGUCCCCUGUGGGAACCAUGGUCUCCUCUGCUUCCAUCCAAGUGUCUGCGUCACACCUUGGGAUAAUAUUACAGCUUUUAGAGGUAGAUAUUACUGUAACUAUGGAUAGAUGUCAUGCAAUUUAUUAUUAUCAUUAUGUUAAUUUUUUUGAGACAGAGUCUUGCUCUGUCACCCAGGCUGGAGUGCAGUGUCUCACUGGAACCUCUGCCUCCUGGGCUCAAGCCAUCCUCCCACCUUAGCCUCCAGAGUAGCUGCUAUCACAGGUGCGCACCACCAUAGCCAGCUAAUUUUUAUAUUUUUUGUAGAGAUAGGGUUUUGCCAUGGUGUGCACCACUGCACCCGGCCUAUGUUAAUUAUUUUAUUAUUAUUUUUUUUGAGACGGAGUCUCGCUCUGUUGCCCAGGCGGAGUGCAGUGGUGCAACCUUGGCUCAUUGCAUCCUCUGCCUCCUGGGUUCAAGUGAUUCUCCUGCCUCAGCCUCCCGAGUGGCUGGGAUUACAGGUGCAUACCACCAUGCUGAUUUUUGUAUUUUUAGUAGAGACGGAGUUUCACCAUGUUGGCCAGGCUGGUUUUGAACUCCUGACCUCAAGGAAUCCACCACCCUUGGCCUCCCAAAGUGUAUGUUAAUUAUUAAUCCUCAUUAUAAUAAUUACAUGAUCACAUAUUAUAAAUGUGGAUAUUGCCACUUUUAGGAUGAGGAGAUGGGAUGUGCUCACUCCUUUAACUUACGUGCUUUGGGGGAAGAGUGAUCUGUGUUGCACAAAAACCCUUUGAGAGCAGACACUCCUGCUUCUUUUGUCACGUGUGGCUUCAGCUUUUAUCAAGAACACUGGGCUCCUGUCCAGGGGAGAGGGUAGGCCAGGAGCAGAGCCUCAGAGGAGAAUGGGAGUGCUGUCCUCACAGGCGGCCUGGAAAUGCAGGAGGCAGCACGCCCAGUGCUUGGCUGCAGGAUCCCCGAGGGAGGGACAGGAUGGAUGGCCACAGGCAUGCCACUCCUUCCCUCCGUCUGGAUUUUUUCCCUGUGAAACGGGAGUGUAAACACCUUCCUGGAGUGGCCUCUCCAUGAAAGGUUGCUGUCACCCUGGGUGGCUUAAGGUCACCAAGGCCGGCCCUGUCCGAGGGGUCAGCCUUCAGGAGGAUUGACUCAGGUCCCUGGGGCCCUCCCGAGGGUCUGGUUCAGUCGACAGGUGUGUGGGGUGGGGCCCACAGCAGGACAUGACACAGGUGGUGGGCUCAGCUCCUGGCAAGACACCGUCCAUCCAGAGGAAGCAGGAAGCAGAGCCAGAAAGGGACAUGGACUCGAGCCCUGAAGCUGGAAAGCCAACGUGCUGGCUGGAGCCAGAAGAGCAGGCAGGAGCAGAGGCAGAACGGACGGGAGUCCGAGGGACGGGAGUCCAAGCCACAGCAGGGGAGAUUCUGUGCGCUGCUGACUUUCUGCAUGACAUCUUUUGGAAGGAUGGUGACAUCUAGUGCUUGUGUGCACAUUUGCCAGCUGAAGCCACAACUAACCCCAGACUUGUUGGGCUUUUUCCAGGAAGGGGACGGUGACAAACAGGUACUGAGCACAUUCAACUUGGCACCAGCUGACUUCCCUUCUAAAUCGAGAACGUGGCUGACGUCCUAGAGCCCCCAGAAAAUAAGUUUCCAUUUCAUGUUCCUUUCAAUUUGUCAUCAGCUCACUAUUUUUACAAAACAGCCAAGUGCUACAGAGAGGGCUUCAAUGAGCAGAAUUGGCUGUUUAUUUAAAUUAAAAGGUAAAAAAAGCAAAACCACUUAAAUGAUAUUAACAUUUAGUAGAGAGGCUGGGCGCAGUGGCUCAUGCCUAUAAUCUCAGCAAUUUGGGAGGCCGAGGCGGGCAGAUUGCCCGAGCUCAGGAGUUGGAUACCAGCCUGGGCAACAUGGUGAAACCGUGUCUCUACUAAAAAAAUAAAAUUAAAUUAAAAAAAUAAAAUUUAGUAGAGGAACUUUUUUUUUUUUUUUUAAGAUGGCGUCUCAUUCUGUUGCCCAGGCUGGAGUGUGGUGGUAUGAUCACAGCUCACUGUAGCCUCAACCUCCUGGGCUCAAGCAAGCCUCCACCUCCACCUCUUCAGUAGCUGGGACCACAGGUGUGCGCCACCACACCCAGCUAAUUUUUGUGUUUUUUGUAGAGACAAGGUUUCACUGAUCUUAAGCUCCUGAGCUAGAUUGAUCUUCCCUCCUUGGCCUCCCAAAAUGCUGGGGUUACAGGCAUGAGCCACUGUACCCAGCCAAAACUUUAUUUUUUAAUUACAUUUUGGCCUUAGCCAUGGAGAUAUAGAAAUGUGGUUAGUGGGUUUCUGAAAAAGGUUAUGAUAAUAAAUGCAUGCUGUCUUCCGGGUCAGAGCCACGGAGUGCACGAGACUAGGUUGCCUCAAAUACCUGUCCAGGGGCCCACCUGAGGGCCUUACAUCUCUGCAGGGAAGGGAAGGGUCUAUGUUCUGUAAAUAGCCAAACAUUGACUAUUAUUAUGCAUUAUCAUUGCUUGGACUAAAACCCAUGCCCUCCUUGGAAAUUUGCUGGAAUUUUACAUUAGUGUAAAUUCAACCACCAGCCAUCAUUUUCCCUCCCCUCCUCCCCCCCCUUCUUUUUUUGAGGCAGAGUCUCACUCUGUCUCCUGCUGCCCAGGCUGGAGUGCAGUGGCACAAUCUUGGCUCGCUGCAACCUCCACCUCCUGGGUUCAAGCGAUUCUCCUGCUUCGGCCUCCCGAGUAGCUGGGACUACAGGGGCAUGCCAGCACACCUGGCUAAUUUUUGUAUUUUUAGUAGAAACAGGGUUUCACCAUGUUGGUCAGGCUGGUCUUGAACUCGACCUCAAGUGAUCUACCCACCUCGGCCUCCCAAAGUGCUGGGAUUACAGGCAUGAGCCACUGUGCCCAGCCUCCAGCCAUCAUUUUCAACAUGGAAAAGGAAAAUAUGAGAGGCUAAGAUUGGUAAAUGGAGGAAGAAAACCUGAAUUUUAUGCUCACGUUUCACCCUGCGCCAGCUUUUAAGAUAAAACCAAAUUCAAACUGAGAAAUGUGAUUUGAAGUGAUGGGAAACAGAAAGAUGUGGAUAAAAGGCCCACGUUUUAAGACAACAAGUCCACAAAGAGCAAAGAGGACAGAAAGAAGAAGCAAAAUUCAUAUGCCCUUUCUCUCCUUGCUCAGGCGAUUUAACAGCCACCCUGGGUGAAGGGCACCAUUAGCUCCUGCUAUGGAUGAGGAAGCUGAGACUUAGAAAGUUUAAGCAAGCUGCCAUCAGAUCAGCUGAUGGGUGUACAUUUAUAUUCUGGGCACGGUCUUCAUUCUGGCACCAUUGUCAAUCCAGUGGAGCAUCUGGUGUGUUCAGAGGUUUAUAGCCGGUUCAGUCCCGACAGUUGCCCCAUCUAAGCUGGAAAUCACUGGUCCUACUGUCUGGAUGGAGACUGCAGCUUUGUUUGACCUGGGGAGUUGGUCUGACUUCAAGUUCCUGGACCUGCAGGGAACUGCAGGACAUGCGGGCAGAAGAGCCCAGGCAGUGGUUUCCGUUUAGGAAGAGGUUGUCUCAUGAUAGAGAAGCACGGUCUUGCUGCACCAUGCUGGAAAGCUCUGUCCAGCCUCCUGUUCUCUGUCCAGCCUCCUGUUCUCUGUCUAGUGGGUGCAAUUGAGUUUCUCCCACCCGUAAAGAGGCGAUUAAGUCCUAACCCCCGGAACCUGUGAGUGCGACCUUAUUUGGAGAGAGGGUCUUUGCAGAUGUAAUUAAUUAAGGCCAACAAGAUGGAACUUAGGAUAGCCCUUAAGUCCAGUGACUGACAUCCUUAUAAGAAGGGGAGAGGACACAGCCACAGAGGGGCAGCCACGUGAAGACAGAGCCAGAGAUGGGGGUGAUGCAGCCACCAGGAACACCAGGGUUGCCGGCAGCCCCUGAAGCUGGAGGAGGCCUGGAAUGGAUUCUCCUUCAGUCUCCGGAAGGAACCAACCCAGCCAACGCAUCAGUUUUGGACCUCUGGCCUCCAGAACUGCAGGAAGAAAUUUGCUAAUUUGAGCCACUCGGCUCAUGGGACUUUGUUUUGGCAGCCGCAGGACACUCAUGCACUGUCCUUGGAGUGUGCGUUCUUCACAAAGGUGGUGGAUGUGGGUGCCACCUCUCUGAAGCUUGAGAUCUGGGACACAGCUGGCCAGGAGAAGUACCACAGCGUCUGCCACCUCUACUUCAGGGGUGCCAACGCUGCGCUUCUGGUGUACGACAUCACCAGGAAGGAUUCCUUCCUCAAGGCUCAGCAGUGGCUGAAGGACCUGGAGGAGGAGCUGCACCCAGGAGAAGUCCUGGUGAUGCUGGUGGGCAACAAGACGGACCUCAGCCAGGAGCGGGAGGUGACCUUCCAGGAAGGGAAGGAGUUUGCCGACAGCCAGAAGUUGCUGUUCAUGGAAACUUCGGCCAAACUGAACCACCAGGUGUCGGAGGUGUUCAAUACAGUGGCCCAAGAGCUACUGCAGAGAAGCGACGAGGAGGGCCAGGCUCUACGGGGGGAUGCAGCUGUGGCUCUGAACAAGGGGCCCGCGAGGCAGGCCAAAUGCUGCGCCCACUAGGUGCAGCCACUCCUGGGGGCUGUGGGGAAGACACCCCCUGCCUGGGCCAUGGCCAGCUCUAGGUGGAUUCUGAUUCACUGUCAAUGCUGGGUUGCUCCCGAGCCCUAGAUGUUCCUGGAAGUUGGCCCCCUUUAUGAAAACCACUUCCCACAGCCAGUGGGAACUGCCAGAGGAAGAUCUGGCGUCACAUGGCUCCCAGGAAAGUGCUGUGCCCUAUCCCCACUGAUACCAUCUGAUUCCCCGAUGCCUGUGCCUGUUCCACCUGGACGGUGGCCCCCUCAGCCUGGCAGCCUCUGGACAGAGAGGAAGGAAGGAUUGGAAAAGUCCCCGCAGCACAGCGACGGUGGGAAGAUGCCUUACGUCUGAUCUUGAUGGGGGCACUGGCCUGGAGCCUGGGCCCACCUGCUUCUGGGGGGUUGGGGAGCAGGCCAGAUGGAGGUGGUGGUGCCAGGAAGAAAUGGAGCGAUGACUGACUGUGGGGUGGGCCCAGGAUUUCCACAUCUUGGUGAAGUUGCCCCUGGGAAGGGCAGCUGGGGGCAGUGGCGCCAGUUCCCUUCCAUGGUCUCCCGGCUGGCAAUGUGGUGAAGCUGAGUUUCUGUCCAAUGAGCAGGAAGAUUCUGAGACAUUUCGCCUGAGAUAUAAGUUGUACUGCGUAUGCAGUUUU
rnacentral:lncRNA from 10 species